GUCCACGCCCUAAACGAUGCGCACUAGAUCGGUGCGGCUCUGACGCCGUAUCGGUCGAAGUAAAACGAUAAGUGCGCCGCCUGGGGAGUACGGUCGCAAGGCUAAAACUCAAAGAAAUUGACGGGGGCUCACACAAGCGGUGGAGCAUGUUGCUUAAUUCGAGGCAACGCGAAGAACCUUACCUGGGUUUGACAUGGCCGGAUUAGUUCUUGGAAACAGGAAUGACGCCUUCGGGUGUAACGGUCACAGGUGCUGCAUGGCUGUCGU
rnacentral:rRNA from 1 species